AGGAUAAGAGGUAUAUUUUUUGCUCACAGUUUACUGUCUCUCCAAAACCCUAAUUAUUCUCUUAAAAGUCAGCUUUCAUCUAGUCUUCGUUAAUUGUUUGUGAGCACAGAUGUUUUAAAAGCAGAAUAAAAGACCAGUUACUGAUCUUUACAUUUCAGUCUAUGUCACAACAUGCCCUUAGUGACAACAGCAAUGCUGUGAACCUCAGGUCACUCUCACCCAAGUCAGGAAGACUUCUGCCUUUCUACGCAGAUGGGAUUAAAUGAAUGCCUUCACCAACCUCUCCAUGUAUUCAAGUGGAUGGAGGCUUGGAAUCAGACACCAAACCACCAGCUUGGUGAGCAGCAAGCCAGCCAAAGCAUAGAGACAACACGGGGUGUUCUCUCCUCUCCACCAGAAUCAAUCCUGACAUGAGAUGUGACUGUCCAGACCCAUGUUUCAGCUGCACAAGAACUUACAUCAACAGAAAUUGCUUCCCACUGAUGGCAAGGCAGUGCCUGCAGCCCGAACACACUGUGAGCCUGAGCAAUACUGUGAGCCUGCUGACUGCACGGCAGUGUAGCGCUGUUACAGAAUAACAUCUGCUCUGAAACAGACAAAAACACCCAUAAAUUCACAUGGAAAAGUCAAUAUGAUCCCUAAGCCAAUCUCUUUGAACUAGACAGUCUCAGUGCCUUCAGAGAAACAUGUCAGUGUUACUGUGUGCAUUUCCAGGUGGUACAUGGAAAAUAUGCUACAUGUAGUGGAAAAGAAAGGAAGGUCCACAGGGUUUAAACAUUGUUCCAUCUAAUACCAGUUAAUUCAGGCACUGACUAUGCUGUAGGUUUAUUUGUUGACUGUUCUUUUCCUCCUCUACUUCGACUGUCAGUUAUUUGAAGCAGUGACCUCCUCAUAAUCAUCUGGUACACGUGGCUGCAUUGCAUAUAGCAUAGUGGGGCGCUCACCUCACGUAAUUACCUGAUUUGGUUUAAUUUUGCUUGACAUACAAAAAAGGCUGAGUAGGCUUGUCAAUGAUUCUGCUUUAAAUGCAUCUUGGAGGUGUGCUCUGGUAGAUACACAACAACAAGGUUUCCCUAGAGCUCUGUGUUGCUCUAUUCUGAGCCAUCAAAGUCAAGUCUUAGCAAUAACUAACACUUGUCUGAAAGAAUAAAGUAGUCAUUAAAGUUAGGUACUGUUAUUUGCAGUGAUGCGAGCAUUUCUUGGCAGUAUGGUGUGCAAAGCACAGGUUAUUUUAUCCUAAGAAUAGAUCCACAUGACGUCAAACUAGCAGAUCUUUUAACGAGCGAUAUCUGGACUUCUUCAUUUGCUUAUUUUAAGAACAAAGCUGUGCACUGAAUUCCCACUCUUGAAUAUUUCGACACUGAACUAUUAAGGAAAAUAUAUGAAACCACUGGCAAGUCUAUUUCACACAAUCCCCUUUGCUCUUGGAUAUGAGACUUUUUAGAAUAGGAACAAAGUAUUUUAUGAAGGAAAUUUGAAAGGACUCAUAUUUGUUCAAAUAUAGAUUAUACAAAUAUAUCUCACAUCCUUAUUCAGAGCAGCAGAACUACACAGAGAGCUCCUGAAUUGUGUCUACUCUCACCAAAUAUAUAUUUAUUGCCCACUUGACAUCUCCCACUCUUUCCUAAAUUCUGAAACCAGAAACUUCAGGUGAAAAUACUAGUAUGUAAUUGGAAUUUCCUUCAUUAUUUACCCAUGACUAAAAAGUUAGUCCUUUUCAACAGUAGUUAGAAUAUAGUAGCAAAAAGUAUUAGAACCAAUAAAAAUUUAUGUUCCAUUAUGUUCCAAUUUAUGCACCUAUCACAACUGAUGCCAGGGAGGAGGGGAGGAAAGCCUCGUCACACUCCCAUACUUGGAAACCCAGAGGUUCCUUAAUUUUUCUGAUAGGUACCCAUGAAGAAAAGUACAAAUGACUACAACCUCCUAAAACAUUGAACCUCUCUGCUAGAAGGAAAAAUCUGUGAUAGCUGUGGAGAUGGAGCUUUCAUAGAAUCAUCAUAGAAUCAUAGCUUUCUCCAGGGUUGAAAGUAUGGAGUGAAUUCCCCUGAGGCUGAGUGUCCUUAU